rnacentral:rRNA from 1 species
GAUGAACGCUGGCGGCGUGCCUAAUACAUGCAAGUCGAGCGAAUGGAUUAAGAGCUUGCUCUUAUGAAGUUAGCGGCGGACGGGUGAGUAACACGUGGGUAACCUGCCCAUAAGACUGGGAUAACUCCGGGAAACCGGGGCUAAUACCGGAUAACAUUUUGAACCGCAUGGUUCGAAAUUGAAAGGCGGCUUCGGCUGUCACUUAUGGAUGGACCCGCGUCGCAUUCGCUAGUUGGUGAGGUAACGGCUCACCAAGGCAACGAUGCGUAGCCGACCUGAGAGGGUGGUCGGCCACACUGUGACUGAGACACGGCCCAGACUCCUACGGGAGGCAGCAGUAGGGAAUCUUCCGCAAUGGACGAGAGUCUGACGGAGCAACGCCGCGUGAGUGAUGAAGGCUUUCGGGUCGUAAAACUCUGUUGUUAGGGAAGAACAAGUGCUAGUUGAAUAAGCUGGCACCUUGACGGUACCUAACCAGAAAGCCACGGCUAACUACGUGCCAGCCGCCGCGGUAA